rnacentral:rRNA from 1 species
UACGAAGGGGGCUAGCGUUGUUCGGAAUCACUGGGCGUAAAGGGCGCGUAGGCGGCUUUAUAAGUCGGGCGUGAAAUCCCCAGGCUCAACCUGGGAACUGCGCUCGAAACUGUAGGUCUUGAGUGUCGGAGAGGAUGGCGGAAUUCCUGGUGUAGAGGUGAAAUUCGUAGAUAUCAGGAGGAACACCGGUGGCGAAGGCGGCCAUCUGGACGACAACUGACGCUGAGAUGCGAAAGCGUGGGGAGCAAACAGG